rnacentral:rRNA from 1 species
ACUGCUCAGUAACACGUGGACAACCUACCCUCCAGAGGGGGAUAACCCCGGGAAACUGGGGAUAAUACCCCAUAGACUAUGGAUGCUGGAAUGCUUCGUGGUUGAAAGGUCCGCCGCUGGAGGAUGGGUCUGCGGCCGAUUAGGUUGUUGUUGGGGUAACGGCCCAACAAGCCUGUAAUCGGUACGGGUUGUGGGAGCAAGAGCCCGGAGAUGGAUUCUGAGACACGAAUCCAGGCCCUACGGGGCGCAGCAGGCGCGAAAACUUUGCAAUGCGGGAAACCGUGACAAGGGAACUCCGAGUGCCCGUUAAAUCGGGCUGUCCAUUGGUUUAAAUAACCAGUGAAGAAAGGGCCGGGCAAGACCGGUGCCAGCCGCCGCGGUAAUACCGGCGGCUCGAGUGGUGGCCACUAUUACUGGGCUUAAAGCGUUCGUAGCUGGUUUGUUAAGUCUCUGGGGAAAUCUUCCGGCUUAACCGGAAGGCGUCUCAGGGAUACUGGCAGACUAGGGACCGGGAGAGGUGAGAGGUACUCCAGGGGUAGGAGUGAAAUCCUGUAAUCCUUGGGGGACCACCUGUGGCGAAGGCGUCUCACCAGAACGGCUCCGACAGUGAGGGACGAAAGCUGGGGGAGCAAACCGGAUUAGAUACCCGGGUAGUCCCAGCUGUAAACGAUGCGCGUUAGGUGUAUCGGUGACCACGAGUCACCGAGGUGCCGAAGAGAAAUCGUGAAACGUGCCGCCUGGGAAGUACGGUCGCAAGGCUGAAACUUAAAGGAAUUGGCGGGGGAGCAC